rnacentral:rRNA from 1 species
GUAGUGAUAUGCUUGUUUCAAAGAUUAAGCCAUGCAUGUCUAAGUAUAAGCGAACUUAUACAGUGAAACUGCGGAUGGCUCAUUAAAACAGUUUGAAUUUAUUUGAUGAAUGUAUGAGAAUACUACUUGGAUAACCGUAGUAAUUCUAGAGCUAAUACAUGCAACGACGCCCGACCGUUUCACUACGGAAGGGCUGUAUUUAUUGGAUACCAAAACCAUCCUUCCCUCGGGAAGUUUUGUUUGAUGAUUCACAAUAACUGAUCGGAUCGCCACUGUGGUGGCGACAGGUCAUUCAACAUUCUGCCCUAUCAGCUUUCGAUGGUUGUGUAGUGGACAACCAUGGCCAUAACGGGUAACGGAGAAUCAGGGUUCGAUUCCGGAGAAGGAGCUUGAGAAUUGGCUACCACAUCUAAGGAAGGCAGCAGGCGCGCAAAUUACCCAAUCCCGAUUCGGGGAGGUAGUGACAAAAAAUAACAAUACCGGGCCUUUUUGGGCUUGGUAAUUGGAAUGAGGGAGAGUUAAACGGACCAUCGAGUAUCCAUUGGAGGGCAAGUCUGGUGCCAGCAGCUGCGGUAAUACCAGCUCCAAUAGCGUAUAUUAAAGUUGUUGCAGUUAAAAAGCUCGUAGUUGGACUUGUGUGCGCUGUCCGCGGGUGGCCUGCGCCCUAAAGGGCGUUUCGGUUCGGCCCCGGUGGCGCCUUGAAAUCUGCAGCUGGGGGGACGUUGGCCUUAACUGGUCGGCGACCGCACGCCGGCUGCUCGGUUACUGUGAGAAAAUUAGAGUGUUCAAGGCAGGCGUUGGGUGCAAUUGAAUACAUUAGCAUGGAAUAAUAAAAUAUGGCUCCUGCCGUAUUUUGUUGGUUUUGACUGGUGGGAGUAAUGAUUGAUAGGGACGGUUGGGGGUGCUAGUAUUGAGCGGCCAGAGGUGAAAUUCAUGGAUUCGCUCAAGACUAACUUAUGCGAAAGCAUUCACCAAGGACGUCCUCUUUAAUCAAGAACGAAAGUUGGGGGAUCGAAGACGAUCAGAUACCGUCGUAGUCUCAACCAUAAACUAUGUCGACUUGGGAUCGGCGGUAGUUUUUUCACUAAGACACUGUCGGGACCACGGGAGAAAUCAAAGUGUCUGGACUCUGGGGGAAGUAUGGUCGCAAGGCUGAAACUUGAAGGAAUUGACGGAAGGGCACCACCAGGAGUGGAGCCUGCGGCUUAAUUUGACCCAACACGGGGAAACUUACCAGGUCCAGAGAUGUAGAGGAUUGACAGAUUGAAGCUCUUUCUUGAUC